AUGCCUUUCGGUUUUUUGGGGCUAGAUAAAAGUGUAGAAUCGUUUUUCAGCUUAAUAUCUGAUACGACCCCCAUGGGGAUCUACGAUUUUAAAAAACUAAAUUUUGGAAAAUGGCGAAUGCUAGGGGCUUGCUCCACCUUUGCCGCGGAUUCGCCCGGUUUGCAUUUACCUCCGGUUUGGGUCCACCCCCU